rnacentral:rRNA from 1 species
UACGGGGGGGGCAAGCGUUGUUCGGAAUUACUGGGCGUAAAGGGCUCGUAGGCGGCCAACUAAGUCAGACGUGAAAUCCCUCGGCUUAACCGGGGAACUGCGUCUGAUACUGGAUGGCUUGAGUUUGGGAGAGGGAUGCGGAAUUCCAGGUGUAGCGGUGAAAUGCGUAGAUAUCUGGAGGAACACCGGUGGCGAAGGCGGGAUCCUGGGCCAGUACUGACGCUGAGGAGCGAAAGCGUGGGGAGCAAACAGG